rnacentral:lncRNA from 1 species
UUUUAGGAAGGAGCCUAGAGUGGCUAAAUUAAUACACACUAGAAAGAGUACUGUUUCACAUCUAGUACACACUACACACACACACACACAAUUUAUAUGUAUACAUAUAACCAUAUCCAUAUCUAUAUAUCUGUAUGGAUCUCUCUAUACAUAUAUAUCAACAAGCGUUGGCAAUGAUGUGGAGAAACUGGAACCUUCAUACAUUCUUGGUAUUGGUAUAAAUGGUACAGCCACUGUGGAAAACACUUCGGCAGUUCCUCAGAGUUAAACACAGAAUGACCAUAUAACCUAGUAAUCUACUCCUAGGUAUAAUAUCCAUGACAACACCCAUACAUCACACAAAACCUUAUACACAAAUGUGCAUAGCAGCCUAUUCACAAGAGCCAAAACACAGAAACAACCAAAUGCCCAUCAACUGAUGACUGGAUAAACAAACGGUGCUGCAGCCACACAAGAGAAUAUUAUUCAGUCAUGAAAAAGGAAUGCAGUACUGUCAUGUGGCACAGCAUGAAUGAAUCUUGGAAACAUUCUAGGUGAGAUGUCAGAUGUAAAAGGUUAAUUAUUGUAGGAUUCCAUUUACUUGAAAUGCUCAGAAAAGGCAAGUCCAUAGGAUGAAAAGUCAAUUAGUGGUUACCCAGGCUAUAGGGAGGGGACCAGGGAGAGAGAGCCUCCAGAUGGGCGGUGGAUUUCUUCUCUGUGGUGAUGGAUAUGCGCUGUAAUUAGACAGUUGUGAUGGUUUCAGAACACAGUGAAUAUAGCUAAAAUGGAACUGUAUACUUUAAGAUGGUAAACAUUGUUAUUUGAAUCAUAUCUAUUAAAAAAAAUAAAGGGCAAGGAAUUUGUUGGAAAGAGAGUGGCUCAAAACGGUGAUGCUUUCUUAAAAAAGAAUCGAAUAAUGCUAUUGUGUAGCAACAAGGAUGGACCUAGAAAUAAUCAUACUAAGUGAAGUACAUAUGAGAUCAAGAACAUGAGGAAUCUAAUAAGGAUGCUACAAAAGAACUCACAAAAAAAGAAAAAGAAAGAUUUUGAAACCAAACUUAUGGUUACCAAAGGGGAAACAUGGGGAGUGGGGAGGGAUAGUUUAGGAGGCUGGGAUUAGCAUAUGCACCCUACUGUGUGUAAAAUAGACUAGCAACCAGGACCUGCUGUAUAGGAGAGGGAAAUCCACUCAGUCCGGUGUAAUCAUCUCUAUGGGAGAGGAAUCUGGAAAGGAAUGGCAAUAAGUACACGGAUAACCGAUCCACUCUGUCAUACGCCUGAGACGAACACAGCAUUGCAACUCAACUGUACUCCAAUAACACUUCCUUCCUUAUUUAUUUAUUUAUUUUUGUCUUUUUGCCUUUGCUAGGGCCACUUCCCGAGGCAUAUGGAGGUUGAUUAUUGCUGCAUUUGGGGAGCACCCAUCAACCUCCCCAUCUCCCUAAUGUGGGAGCUUCUGUGGAGAGGCAGCCGCUGCCCAGCACGGUGUGGACACCACUGUACAGAGCUGCUCAGGGGCAAGGUGGCCCCAGCGAUGCUGGGUCAUGCUCAGGUUUCAGCUGGGUCCUUGGUUUGUGGUCUCCUCCUCACCCCCGAUGAAAGAGCCGCGGCUGGAUGCAUGAAGGCGAUGGCCAGGUUCUCCCUGAGGAAAAGCUCCUGGGAGCAGCACGUUUCAUUUUUAAGAAUUUCAAGUAGUCAGCAGCAGUGGGUGCUUGAAAAAUUUUAAGGCACCCAAUCUGGCUUUUAGAUUCUCUCUGACAGCAGCAGAGGAUGACAAUGCAUUCCCCUGCACCUGUCACGCUAAGCAGACCUAAAUUUGAGAUGGGGUGGGGAGGGAGUGGGUACUGGGGGAGGGUGCUCUGGUGCGGCUGGAGCUAAAGGCGGGCAGCCUAGAGCUGUAGGUGCCCUGAAAACCGCAACGUGCAAGUCAGCGCAGCCACAGGGCUAUGUCCUCACUGCCUGGACUUUCCUUGACCCCUAGAAAGUCCUCUUGGUUGCUGCUUCAACAGGUAGCAAAAGAGAACUUCUAUUAGUAUUACUUCUAAGAUUUCCUCCAGAUACAGUCCAUGCAGAAGAAGAAGGUCUGAGAUGAAGUUACUUACUUAGUACUGGCGUUCUAAGACCAGAGCGCACUUCCAUACACCUCUAAGAACACUGCCUGGCACAAGGUGGUUCUUAAUAGGUAUUUACUGAACGGAGAAUGAAUCAAUGCCUCAGUGAAUAUGUGCUUUUUGAGCAUCUGCCAUGAGCUUGGUACUUUACUAGAUUUUUAAUUCAGUGUUACGUUUUGAAGACAUAGAGGGGUUAAGCGACUUGCCCCAAGAAAGUCAGCUUGUAAACAGUUGAUUCAGGACCCAAACCAGAGCAAGCUCAUUCCUAGAGGAAGCACACUCUGC